rnacentral:rRNA from 1 species
UACGUAGGGUCCGAGCGUUGUCCGGAAUUAUUGGGCGUAAAGGGCUCGUAGGCGGUCUGUUGCGUCGGGAGUGAAAACUUACAGCUUAACUGUGAGCCUGCUUCCGAUACGGGCAGACUGGAGGUAUGCAGGGGAGAACGGAAUUCCUGGUGUAGCGGUGAAAUGCGCAGAUAUCAGGAGGAACACCAGUGGCGAAGGCGGUCUCUG